UUUUAAAAAAAAAUUAAAGUUCUGAAUUAGUCUUAUUUUGUAAAUAAUAAAAAUUAAAAAAUUUGGCGGUAUUUUAUUCUAGAUAGAGGAACCUGUUCUUUAAUUGAUAUUCCACGUUCUAUUUAACUUAAAUUUAAUUUGUAUAUCGUUGUCAUAAUAAGAUUUUUUUUAAAGAAUAUUUAAAGCUCUUAAUUAUUUAUAAAUAAAUAUGUCAAAUCAAGGUGCAGUCUAUAUUUAAGGUUGAAAUGGGUUACAUUAAAUUUAUUUAAAUUGGAUUUAAGGUUUUAAUUAUUUAAUGAAAUUGGAUUUAUAAGUAAAUAUAGUUUAAUUUGCUACAUUGAAUGAGUUUUAAAAUGUGU
rnacentral:rRNA from 1 species